AUCACGUGUUUUGACUGUAGAGAUGGAAGCUGUAAAGCAUGAUUGCUCAACUUUGAGGCCACAAAUAUUAAUUUUGUAUUAAUAAGAACAGACCUGAGGUUAAUUUUUUGGUCGUGACCCACCAGUUGAGAUGAGCUGCUUUAAAUACAGCUCAACCGGAGGGGAUGAAAGCAAGUGAAGAACAGAUCAAAGCUUCCCUCAGGGCCGCAGAUACGCUGAAGACAGACACAGGGGUCGUAUAUCACUCUGUCUGUCUGGCAGACGGGUGCCACAGCUUUAUCUGACGAAUACAGUCCACACCGCAGCUCAUUCUGCAAAUCAUACACUCAUUGAGGCCAGUCACAGUUUACAGCAUUUACAUUUAUUACGCUGCUCUCUGGAAUACGUCCAGCAUUGAGUCAAAUAUGUUGGUAUAAUGACCAGUAAAUGGCAAGUAAAAAGUCCUUGGUGGACUUGAGUAUUCAUUUUAAUAUAUAUGGUGAUGAGUAUAAAUCCUUUGAUAGAUGGCUAGACAUCAGUAUUUCAUGUUUGUGUAUUUAUUCAUUUAAGAAGCUUUGUAAUAGGCAGGAUAAUGUAUAGAAUGUCAUUAUCACAAA